rnacentral:rRNA from 1 species
AUACCCUAUUAUUUUUAAUGUAAAGUUGAAGCCGGAGUAGUAAUAGUUAUGAUCUUAAAACUUAAAGAAUUUGGCGGUAUUAUAUUCUAUUUAGAGGAAUCUGUUACUUAAUCGAUAGUCCACGUUGUACCUUACUUACUUAAGUUCUUGUAUAUCGCUGUUUAAUGAGUCUACUUUAAGGUAAAAUUCUCUGGAUAGUAUAUUAAUUAAGAUUUCAAGUCAAGGUGCAGUAAUAUGUAAGUUGAUAAUGGAUUACAAUAAAGUGUAUUUAAAUGGAUUUUAAGUUGAAAUAAAUAAUUGAAAGUGGAUUUGAGUGUAAUUUUUUAAAGAUUGUUGAAAUGAUCAAUAGCCCUAUAAUAUGUACACAUCGCCC